ACGAACGCUGGCGGCGUGCCUAAUACAUGCAAGUCGAACGAAACUUUCUUACACCGAAUGCUUGCAUUCACCGUAAGAAGUUGAGUGGCGGACGGGUGAGUAACACGUGGGUAACCUGCCUAAAAGAAGGGGAUAACACUUGGAAACAGGUGCUAAUACCGUAUAUCUCUAAGGAUCGCAUGAUCCUUAGAUGAAAGAUGGUUCUGCUAUCGCUUUUAGAUGGACCCGCGGCGUAUUAACUAGUUGGUGGGGUAACGGCCUACCAAGGUGAUGAUACGUAGCCGAACUGAGAGGUUGAUCGGCCACAUUGGGACUGAGACACGGCCCAAACUCCUACGGGAGGCAGCAGUAGGGAAUCUUCCACAAUGGACGCAAGUCUGAUGGAGCAACGCCGCGUGAGUGAAGAAGGUCUUCGGAUCGUAAAACUCUGUUGUUAGAGAAGAACACGAGUGAGAGUAACUGUUCAUUCGAUGACGGUAUCUAACCAGCAAGUCACGGCUAACUACGUGCCAGCAGCCGCGGUAAUACGUAGGUGGCAAGCGUUGUCCGGAUUUAUUGGGCGUAAAGGGAACGCAGGCGGUCUUUUAAGUCUGAUGUGAAAGCCUUCGGCUUAACCGGAGUAGUGCAUUGGAAACUGGAAGACUUGAGUGCAGAAGAGGAGAGUGGAACUCCAUGUGUAGCGGUGAAAUGCGUAGAUAUAUGGAAGAACACCAGUGGCGAAAGCGGCUCUCUGGUCUGUAACUGACGCUGAGGUUCGAAAGCGUGGGUAGCAAACAGGAUUAGAUACCCUGGUAGUCCACGCCGUAAACGAUGAAUGCUAGGUGUUGGAGGGUUUCCGCCCUUCAGUGCCGCAGCUAACGCAAUAAGCAUUCCGCCUGGGGAGUACGACCGCAAGGUUGAAACUCAAAGGAAUUGACGGGGGCCCGCACAAGCGGUGGAGUAUGUGGUUUAAUUCGACGCAACGCGAAGAACCUUACCAGGUCUUGACAUCCUUUGACCACCUAAGAGAUUAGGCUUUCCCUUCGGGGACAAAGUGACAGGUGGUGCAUGGCUGUCGUCAGCUCGUGUCGUGAGAUGUUGGGUUAAGUCCCGCAACGAGCGCAACCCUUGUUGUCAGUUGCCAGCAUUAAGUUGGGCACUCUGGCGAGACUGCCGGUGACAAACCGGAGGAAGGUGGGGACGACGUCAAGUCAUCAUGCCCCUUAUGACCUGGGCUACACACGUGCUACAAUGGACGGUACAACGAGUCGCGAGACCGCGAGGUUUAGCUAAUCUCUUAAAGCCGUUCUCAGUUCGGAUUGUAGGCUGCAACUCGCCUACAUGAAGUCGGAAUCGCUAGUAAUCGCGAAUCAGCAUGUCGCGGUGAAUACGUUCCCGGGCCUUGUACACACCGCCCGUCACACCAUGAGAGUUUGUAACACCCAAAGCCGGUGGGGUAACCGCAAGGAGCCAGCCGUCUAAGGUGGGACAGAUGAUUGGGGUG
rnacentral:rRNA from 1 species